rnacentral:rRNA from 1 species
UUACCCGUGAACCUAAGCAUAUCAAUAAGCGGAGGAAAAGAAACCAACAGGGAUUACCUCAGUAACGGCGAGUGAAGCGGUAAUAGCUCAAAUUUGAAAUCUGGCUUCGGUCCGAGUUGUAAUUUGUAGAAGAUGCUUCGGGUGUGGCUCCGGUCUAAGUUCCUUGGAACAGGACGUCAUAGAGGGUGAGAAUCCCGUAUGUGACUGGGUGCCUUCGCCUAUGUGAAGCUCUUUCGACGAGUCGAGUUGUUUGGGAAUGCAGCUCAAAAUGGGUGGUAUAUUUCAUCUAAAGCUAAAUAUUGGCCAGAGACCGAUAGCGCACAAGUAGAGUGAUCGAAAGAUGAAAAGCACUUUGGAAAGAGAGUUAAACAGUACGUGAAAUUGUUGAAAGGGAAGCGUUUGCAACCAGACUUGCACGUUGCCGAUCAUCCGGUGUUCUCACCGGUGCACUCGGUUUCGUUCAGGCCAGCAUCGGUUUGGGUGGUUGGAUAAAGACCUUGGGAAUGUAGCUUCUUUCGGGGAGUGUUAUAGCCCUCGGUGCAAUGCAGCCUACCUGGACCGAGGACCGCGCUUCGGCUAGGAUGCUGGCGUAAUGGUUGUAAACGACCCGUCUUGAAACACGGACCAAGGAGUCUAACAUCUAUGCGAGUAUUUGGGUGUUAAACCCAUAUGCGUAAUUAACGUGAACGGAGGUAAGAGCCCUUAAGGGUGCAUUAUCGACCGGUCCUGAUGUCUUCGGAAGGAUCUGAGUAAGAGCAUAGCUGUUGGGACCCGAAAGAUGGUGAACUAUGCCUGAAUAGGGUGAAGCCAGAGGAAACUCUGGUGGAGGCUCGCAGCGGUUCUGACGUGCAAAUCGAUCGUCAAAUUUGGGUAUAGGGGCGAAAGACUAAUCGAACCAUCUUGCUUGUG